UCUCUCUCUCUCUCUCUCCCAAACUUAUCUUACCUCUGGCUCCAUCACAAGCAACCAAGCUGUCUCUUGUUGGAUAUGUAGUUGGCUUGUUGGAAGCGCAGAGGCACAGUCCUUAACCCGUCAACCUAAAACACCAACCUCUUCCUCUUCUUUCCUUCUCUCUCUCUUUAUCGCUAAUUAUUCUUGUGCUUCUACUUCUACUUCUACGUACACACAAAACUAAGAGCAAUUAGAGAAGGGAUAAUAAAGCGGGUGGUUCGGUCGUGAUGCUAGCUGUUGUUGCCUCUAUUUUCUCUUGUGAGACUGUGAGUUAGGUCCCAUUUUAAACUUUGAUUUCUUGUUUGUUUUCGAAUUGUGAGACUUGUUUUAUUAAUUCUUGCUUAGUGCAAUAACUUCUCCAAUCCUGUGUGUCUUGUAAGAAAAUUAGGGCCAUAGAUUGCAGUCUUUAUUCGCAUUAUUAACUUGGGAAAACAACGUUAUUAUAUUAGGGCAUUUAGUUGAGCUCGGAUUACAAAUCUUUCUUAAGCUUAACAACUCCAAGAUUUCAAAGUUUGAUUAUUAUAGAGACUAGAUCAAGAUAGGAAAAUUCACAUAGCUAGCCAUAGUGCUAGUACUACUGUGUGUAAGAGAUUUCAGGCGUGUAUAUAUAUAUAUAUACACACUUUUGCUUGAAAUUGACAUCCAAAUUGGAAAUAAUUGUUUGAGUGAGUUCUUUAGACUUGCAAAUAUUUUGGGAAUAAGAGCAAAUUUA
rnacentral:misc_RNA from 1 species